rnacentral:rRNA from 1 species
UUUGCGGACAUCCAAUUAGGAAUAAAGAUUCAUCGGUCAUGGAUGGGGAUGCGUCUGAUUAGGUUGUUGGCGGGGUAACGGCCCACCAAGCCAUCGAUCAGUAGGGGUUCUGAGAGGAAGGUCCCCCACAUUGGAACUGAGACACGGUCCAAACUCCUACGGGAGGCAGCAGUGAGGAAUAUUGGUCAAUGGGCGAGAGCCUGAACCAGCCAAGUAGCGUGCAGGACGACGGCCCUAUGGGUUGUAAACUGCUUUUAUACGGGAAUAAAGUGGGCCCACGCGUGGUCUUUUGCAUGUACCGUAUGAAUAAGGACCGGCUAAUUCCGUG